GAUGUACUUGAUGACUUCUUCUUGGGAAUAACUUCCUUCCAUAUUAGGAUCCAAUAGUUCAAGUGGUGUUUGCUCUGCCCAUUUUAUCCAAGCCUACAAAAUAUUAAUUUGUAAAUGAAGAAAAUCAUUCUUUCAACUUUAUAAAGAGAAUCUAAGAUAUGUUGUACUCACAUAUCUCCGGAUAUCAUCAACACGCUCUAAUUCAGAAGAACAACCUUUCCUCUUUCCACUAAUAAUCUCUAGAACCAUGAUACCGAAACUAUACACAUCGGAUUUUACAGAAAAGUAUCCGUGCAUUGCGUAUUCUGGAGAUAUAUAGCCACUAUACAUGAAAAACGAGAAAGUUCAUUUAGUGGGCGUUAAGAUAAUGAUUUCUAAGAAAAAAGACAUGUGAGAAAGUGAAUGAAAUAAAGUAGGAGUUAUAAGCUUACUAUGUCCCUACAAUCGUGCAUGUACUUUCUUCAAUUUGAUCUAUUGAUACAAUUCUAGCCAUGCCAAAAUCUGAUAUUUUUGGAUUCAUAUUACUAUCUAACAAGACAUUGCUAGGUUUCAGAUCACGAUGUAUUAUUUUGAGACGAGAAUCUUCAUGGAGAUAAAGAAUUCCACGGGCAAUUCCUUUGAUGAUAUUCUGACGUUGAGACCAAGAUAAUAAUUUUCGCUUCUGGGGAUCUACAUAUUAGGUUCUUUGGAUGGUCAAUUGUCUAGUUCAAAUAAGAAUGGAUCCAUAAAAGCAAAUCUGUUUGUUGCUGCUUCAAUUUUGGCAAAGUCAAAUUGCAAGGACUCCAAAGUGAAAGAAACAGCAUCCCAAGACUAAAAGCACCAGUGAGACAACAAUUGGAACAACGAUCUCAAAUAUU